rnacentral:rRNA from 1 species
CAAUUGGAAACAGUUGCUAAGACUGGAUAGGAAAUUAAAAGGCAUCUUUUAAUUUUUAAAAGACCUUUUUCGGAAGGUAUGCUUAAAGAGGGGCUUGCGCCACAUUAGUUAGUUGGUAAGGUAAAGGCUUACCAAGACGAUGAUGUGUAGCUGGACUGAGAGGUCGAACAGCCACAUUGGGACUGAGACACGGCCCAAACUCCUACGGGAGGCAGCAGUAAGGAAUUUUUGGCAAUGGAGGAAACUCUGACCGAGCGACGCCGCGUGAACAAUGAAGUACUUCGGUAUGUAAAGUUCUUUUAUUGAAAAAGAAAAAAUAGUGGAAAAACUAUCUUGACAUUAUUCAAUGAAUAAGCCCCGGCUAAUUAUGUGCCAGCAGCCGCGGUAAUACAUAAGGGGCGAGCGUUAUCCGGAAUUAUUGGGCGUAAAGGGUGCGUAGGCGGUUUGAUAAGUCUAUAGUUUAAUUGCAGUGCUUAACGCUGUACCGCUAUAGAAACUGUCUGACUAGAGUUAGAUAGAGGCAAGCGGAAUUCCAUGUGUAGCGGUAAAAUGCGUAAAUAUAUGGAGGAACACCAGAGGCGUAGGCGGCUUGCUGGGUCUUAACUGACGCUGAGGCACGAAAGCGUGGGGAGCAAACAGGAUUAGAUACCCUGGUAGUCCACGCCGUAAACGAUGAGUACUAAGUGUCGGGUUUUGGCUCGGUACUGAAGUUAACACAUUAAGUACUCCGCCUGAGUAGUACGUACGCAAGUAUGAAACUUAAAGGAAUUGACGGGACCCCGCACAAGCGGUGGAUCAUGUUGUUUAAUUCGAAGAUACACGAAAAACCUUACCAGGUCUUGACAUAAUUUUGCGACAUUAUAGAAAUAUAAUGAAGGUUAUCAGAAUUACAGGUGGUGCAUGGUUGUCGUCAGCUCGUGUCGUGAGAUGUUAGGUUAAGUCCUAAAACGAGCGCAACCCUUGUCGUUAGUUGCGACCACAUAAUGGUGAGCACUUUAGCGAGACUGCCAAUGAAAAAUUGGAGGAAGGUGAGGAUUACGUCAAAUCAUCAUGCCCCUUAUGAUCUGGGCUACAAACGUGAUACAAUGGCUGUUACAAAGAGUAGCUACAACGUGAGUUUUUAGCCAAUCUCAAAAAAACAGUCUCAGUUCGGAUUGAAGUCUGCAACUCGACUUCAUGAAGUUGGAAUCGCUAGUAAUCGCGAAUCAGCAUGUCGCGGUGAAUACGUUCUCGGGGUUUGUACACACCGCCCGUCAAACCACGAAAGUUGAUAAUACCCAAAACCGGUC